UACGGGGGGGGCAAGCGUUGUUCGGAAUUACUGGGCGUAAAGGGCUCGUAGGCGGCCAACUAAGUCGGAUGUGAAAUCCCCAGGCUUAACCUGGGAACUGCAUCCGAUACUGGAUGGCUUGAAUCCGGGAGAGGGAUGCGGAAUUCCAGGUGUAGUGGUGAAAUGCGUAGAUAUCUGGAGGAACACCGGUGGCGAAGGCGGCAUCCUGGACCGGCAUUGACGCUGAGGAGCGAAAGCCAGGGGAGCAAACGGG
rnacentral:rRNA from 1 species